rnacentral:rRNA from 1 species
CCAGCAGCCGCGGUAAUACGGAGGGUGCGAGCGUUAAUCGGAAUUACUGGGCGUAAAAGCGCAUGCAGGUGGUUUGUUAAGUCAGAUGUGAAAGCCCGGGGCUCAACCUCGGAAUUGCAUUUGAAACUGGCAAACUAGAGUACUGUAGAGGGGGUAGAAUUUCAGGUGUAGCGGUGAAAAUGCGUAGAGAUCUGAAGGAAUACCGGUGGCGAAGGCGGCCCCCUGGACAGAUACUGACACUCAGAUGCGAAAGCGUGGGGAGCAAACAGGAUUAGAUACCCUGGUAA